UGUUAAACUGCUGAAAGGAAAAUACACCCAAGAGAAGGCAUUUGACUUUAAUGACUUAAAAUCUUCAAACUUGUCUUCCAUUGGCUUUUUAUUUAUUGUCUAGAACUUGUUUGUUGAUGGACGUGCAGAUUUACAGAUAACUAAUGCUGAGGCUGGACAAAAGCAUUAAAUGAACUAAAAAGAGGUGCUAUUCAGCAUUUUACUUAAAAAAAUAUUAAGGUUAAAAAGCCAAUUAGUUGUGUGGAAAGAUGUCAUGAUCUGUCUUUUUUUGUUACGUGUGACAACUUCAGUGAAUCAGGACGAGUUCAUGAAACUGUCCUCUGCUACUCAAUAAACACAUUGAGGAACAUA